ACGUAGGGUGCAAGCGUUGUCCGGAAUUAUUGGGCGUAAAGAGCUCGUAGGCGGUUUGUUGCGUCGGCUGUGAAAUCCCGAGGCUCAACCUCGGGUCUGCAGUCGAUACGAGCAAACUAGAGUGUUGCAGGGGAGACUGGAAUUCCUGGUGUAGCGGUGAAAUGCGCAGAUAUCAGGAGGAACAUCAGUGGCGAAGGCGGCUUUCUGGCCCAACACUGACGCUGAGGUGCGAAAGCGUGGGGAGCAAACAGGA
rnacentral:rRNA from 1 species